rnacentral:rRNA from 1 species
GUCGAUGGGAAACAGGUUAAUAUUCCUGUACUUGGUGUUACUGCGAAGGGGGGACGGAGAAGGCUAUGUUGGCCGGGCGACGGUUGUCCCGGUUUAAGCGUGUAGGCUGGUUUUCCAGGCAAAUCCGGAAAAUCAAGGCUGAGGCGUGAUGACGAGGCACUACGGUGCUGAAGCAACAAAUGCCCUGCUUCCAGGAAAAGCCUCUAAGCAUCAGGUAACAUCAAAUCGUACCCCAAACCGACACAGGUGGUCAGGUAGAGAAUACCAAGGCGCUUGAGAGAACUCGGGUGAAGGAACUAGGCAAAAUGGUGCCGUAACUUCGGGAGAAGGCACGC